rnacentral:pre_miRNA from 1 species
AGGGGUGGAUCUGAUGUCCCUGAGUGUACGUGGUGGACCUGAAUUUGCCUUGGGUUUCCUCAUACUCAUUCAGGAGUGUCAGUUGCCCCU